GAUGAAGAACGUAGCGAAAUGCGAUAAGUAAUGUGAAUUGCAGAAUUCAGUGAAUCAUCGAAUCUUUGAACGCACCUUGCGCCCUUUGGCUAUUCUGAAGGGCAUGCCUGUUUGAGUAUCGUGAACACCUCAACUCUCAUGGUCUGCCAUGAUGAGCUUGGACUUUGGGGGUCUUGCUGGCCUACUGUCAGCUCCUCUCAAAUGAAUCGGCUUACCAGUGUUUGGUGGCACCACAGGUGUGAUAACUAUCUACGCUUGUGGUUUUCUGCCAGGUAACCUCCAGUGAUGGAGGUUCGCUGGAGCUCACAAAUGUCUCUCCUCAGCGAGGACAGCUUUUUGAACGUUUGAUCUCAAAUCAGGUAGGACUACCCGCUGAACUUAAGCAUAUCAAUAAGCGGAGGA
rnacentral:misc_RNA from 1 species